UACGGAGGGUGCGAGCGUUGUUCGGAAUCACUGGGCGUAAAGCGCGUGUUGGCGGUCUGUUAAGUCUGAUGUGAAAGCCCGGGGCUCACCCCCGGAAGUGCAUUGGAAACUGACAGACUGGAGUCCCGGAGAGGAGGGUGGAAUUCCUGGUGUAGCGGUGAAAUGCGUAGAUAUCAGGAGGAACUCCGGUGGCGAAGGCGGCCCUCUGGACGGUGACUGACGCGGGGACGCGAAAGCGUGGGGAGCAAACAGG
rnacentral:rRNA from 1 species